CCUACGGGGGGCAGCAGUGAGGAAUAUUGGUCAAUGGACGGAAGUCUGAACCAGCCAUGCCGCGUGCAGGAAGACGGCUCUAUGAGUUGUAAACUGCUUUUGUACAAGGGUAAACCUGAAUACGUGUAUUCAGCUGAAAGUACUGUACGAAUAAGGAUCGGCUAACUCCGUGCCAGCAGCCGCGGUAAUUCGGGGGAUUCAAGCGUUUGGCGGAUUUAUUGGGUUUAAAGGGUGCGUAGGCGGAUUGAUAAGUUAGAGGGGAAAUGUCCGAGGUUAACUCGGGAACUGCCUUUAAUACUGGUGUUAGAGAGAGUAGGUGAGGUAGGCGGAAUGUAUGGUGUAGCGGUGAAAUGCUUAGAGAUCAUACAGAACACCGAUUGCGAAGGCAGCUUACCAAUCUAUAUCUGACGUUGAGGCACGAAAGCGUGGGGAGCAAACAGGAUUAGAUACCCUGGUAGUC
rnacentral:rRNA from 1 species